CAGCAGCCGCCACGGUAAUACGAAGGGGGCUAGCGUUGUUCGGAUUAACUGGGCGUAAAGGGCGCGUAGGCGGGUCUUUAAGUCAGGGGUGAAAUCCCAAGGCUCAACCUUGGAACUGCCUUUGAUACUGGAGAUCUUGAGUUCGGGAGAGGUGAGUGGAACUGCGAGUGUAGAGGUGAAAUUCGUAGAUAUUCGCAAGAACACCAGUGGCGAAGGCGGCUCACUGGCCCGGUACUGACGCUGAGGCGCGAAAGCGUGGGGAGCAAACAGGAUUAGAUACCCGUGUAGUCCCUGUCUCUUAUAC
rnacentral:rRNA from 1 species